rnacentral:sRNA from 1 species
GAGUCAGAUUUGGAGAAAAGCUGAGAAGGGCUAGUUUAAGUCUAGAGGUUAAAGUGCUGACAAGUCAGCACAAAAUUUAGCAUCCGGAAAUCUGAAACAUGAGCGUUUCCAAAGUCUUAGUUUUCCUCAUACAAAGGAAAUGAUGAAGAUUUUUCAUAAAAAAUUUGGCCUGCAUAAUUUUAGAACUAAUCAGCUAGAGGCGAUCAAUGCUGCACUGCUUGGUGAAGACUGUUUUAUCCUGAUGCCGACUGGAGGUGGUAAGAGUUUGUGUUACCAGCUCCCUGCCUGUGUUUCUCCUGGGGUCACUGUUGUCAUUUCUCCCUUGAGAUCACUUAUCGUAGAUCAAGUCCAAAAGCUGACUUCCUUGGAUAUUCCAGCUACAUAUCUGACAGGUGAUAAGACUGACUCAGAAGCUACAAAUAUUUACCUCCAGUUAUCAAAAAAAGACCCAAUCAUAAAACUUCUAUAUGUCACUCCAGAAAAGAUCUGUGCAAGUAACAGACUCAUUUCUACUCUGGAGAAUCUCUAUGAGA